UACGUAGGGGGCAAGCGUUGUCCGGAAUCAUUGGGCGUAAAGCGCGUGUAGGCGGCUCGGUAAGUCCGCUCUGAAAGCCCGGGGCUCAACCCCGGGAGGCGGGUGGAUACUGCUGAGCUCGAGUCCGGAAGAGGAGUGUGGAAUUCCUGGUGUAGCGGUGAAAUGCGUAGAUAUCUGGAGGAAUACCGGUGGCGAAGGCGGCAUCCUGGACCGACAUUGACGCUGAGGAGCGAAAGCUAGGGGAGCAAACGGG
rnacentral:rRNA from 1 species